rnacentral:lncRNA from 1 species
GUUUGUAUGUGGUGCUGAGGAUCAAACCCGGGCCGCACGCAUGCCAGGCGAGCGCACUAACGCUUGAGCCACAUCCCCAGCCCCGGGAGAACAAUUUAAACAAGCAUUUAUGUCCUUAUGGUACACAAGCAGGUAUGAGGCAUCGAGGAAGCAGUAUAUUAUUAAGAUGUCUCUCCAAAGAAAUGCACAGUCUGGGCAAUAACAUUUUGAGGGAACAGUACUUCUGGGGUGAUAAGCAGCUGUAUGUGAGGUUGAAAGUUCAAGAGAGGGCCCAGGGCUGGAGAUUUGGGAGGCAAAAAGCCACCCAGGGAGUUGAUUGGAGUGCAAAGUGAUGUUGUCUGUGGAACCUAGAUAACAGCACAUUUAGGGUUAAAAGGGCCCCUUUGAGGAGAGGAAAGGGAACUUGGAGAGGGCAGUGUCCCAGAAAAUAAGAGCUUCAAGUCAAUAUCUGUGCUGUUGAGGAAUGUCCCAACAUUCGGUGGCAUCAUCUCCCAGCCCGAACAUCACAGAGAACCGGCUGGGGCUGUAGGGCACCAACGGGACUGCACACCCUCCUCCCUCAUUCCUUGCAAGCCAAGAAGACUUUGAGCUAUCUUUCAGAGCACAGAGCCUGUGGAGCCCACAAGGUGCCAUUUCUCUGGCCUGUAACUAUGUGGUUACAUUAAUUUUCAGCCCUUGUGCCUGGUGUUCUUUCUCAGUUUCUGCCUUGUGGAAAUCAGUCUUAAAACCCCGAAGGAGUGGCCUCCCUACCACCUGUCCAGUGGAUUUCCCGAAAGAGUAACUCAUCUAGCAUCCUGUGGAUGCUAGAUGUUGAGUGUUGGGUCUAUUUUUUUAAGAGAGAGAGAGAG